UACGAGAGGCCCAAACGUUAUUCGGAAUUACUGGGCUUAAAGAGUUCGUAGGCGGCUUGGAAAGUGGGGUGUGAAAGCCCUCGGCUCAACCGAGGAAUUGCGCUCCAAACUACCGAGCUUGAGGAGGCUAGAGGUGAGCAGAACUGAUGGUGGAGCGGUGAAAUGCGUUGAUAUCAUCAGGAAUACCGGAGGCGAAGGCGGCUCACUGGGACCUUUCUGACGCUGAGGAACGAAAGCUAGGGGAGCAAACGGGAUUAGAAACCCCCGUAGUCC
rnacentral:rRNA from 1 species